rnacentral:misc_RNA from 1 species
AACGCAUCUUGCGCUCUCUGGUAUUCCGGAGAGCAUGUCUGUUUGAGUGUCAUGAAUAUUUCAACCCAUUGAAUUUUUUUUUUUUUCCACAAAAGAUUCUAUUGGAGAUUGGAUUUUGAGUGUUUGCCUUUUAUAAUAUAGGCUCGCUUGUAAUACAUUAGCAUCUCAUUUUCGAAUUUCGGAUUGACUUGGCGUAAUAGACUAUUCGCUGAGGAUCUUUAUUAAUAGAGAGCCGAAAUAUGAAUAAUAGUAGAGGCUUCCAGUUGUUAAUUGUCAUUUUAAGAUUUAGACCUCAAAUCAGGCAGGAUUACCCGCUGAACUUAA